UACGGGGGGGGUAAGCGUUGUUCGGAAUUACUGGGCGUAAAGGGCUCGUAGGCGGCCAACUAAGUCAGACGUGAAAUCCCUCAGCUUAACUGGGGAACUGCGUCUGAUACUGGAUGGCUUGGAUUCGGGAGAGGAAUGCGGAAUUCCAGGUGUAGCGGUGAAAUGCGUAGAUAUCGGAAGGAACAUCAGUGGCGAAAGCGACUUCUUGGACCAAUACUGACGCUCAAGUGCGAAAGCGUGGGGAGCAAACAGG
rnacentral:rRNA from 1 species